UACGAAGGGGGCUAGCGUUGCUCGGAAUUACUGGGCGUAAAGGGUGCGUAGGCGGGUCUUUAAGUCAGAGGUGAAAUCCUGGAGCUCAACUCCAGAACUGCCUUUGAUACUGAGGAUCUUGAGUUCGGGAGAGGUGAGUGGAACUGCGAGUGUAGAGGUGAAAUUCGUAGAUAUUCGCAAGAACACCAGUGGCGAAGGCGGCUCACUGGCCCGAUACUGACGCUGAGGCACGAAAGCGUGGGGGAGCAAACAGG
rnacentral:rRNA from 1 species